rnacentral:rRNA from 1 species
GAUGAACGCUGGCGGCGUGCCUAAUACAUGCAAGUCGAGCGAACGGACGAGAAGCUUGCUUCUCUGAUGUUAGCGGCGGACGGGUGAGUAACACGUGGAUAACCUACCUAUAAGACUGGGAUAACUUCGGGAAACCGGAGCUAAUACCGGAUAAUAUUUUGAACCGCAUGGUUCAAAAGUGAAAGACGGUCUUGCUGUCACUUAUAGAUGGAUCCGCGCUGCAUUAGCUAGUUGGUAAGGUAACGGCUUACCAAGGCAACGAUGCAUAGCCGACCUGAGAGGGUGAUCGGCCACACUGGAACUGAGACACGGUCCAGACUCCUACGGGAGGCAGCAGUAGGGAAUCUUCCGCAAUGGGCGAAAGCCUGACGGAGCAACGCCGCGUGAGUGAUGAAGGUCUUCGGAUCGUAAAACUCUGUUAUUAGGGAAGAACAUAUGUGUAAGUAACUGUGCACAUCUUGACGGUACCUAAUCAGAAAGCCACGGCUAACUACGUGCCAGCAGCCGCGGUAAUACGUAGGUGGCAAGCGUUAUCCGGAAUUAUUGGGCGUAAAGCGCGCGUAGGCGGUUUUUUAAGUCUGAUGUGAAAGCCCACGGCCCAACCGUGGAGGGUCAUUGGAAACUGGAAAACUUGAGUGCAGAAGAGGAAAGUGGAAUUCCAUGUGUAGCGGUGAAAUGCGCAGAGAUAUGGAGGAACACCAGUGGCGAAGGCGACUUUCUGGUCUGUAACUGACGCUGAUGUGCGAAAGCGUGGGGAUCAAACAGGAUUAGAUACCCUGGUAGUCCACGCCGUAAACGAUGAGUGCUAAGUGUUAGGGGGUUUCCGCCCCUUAGUGCUGCAGCUAACGCAUUAAGCACUCCGCCUGGGGAGUACGACCGCAAGGUUGAAACUCAAAGGAAUUGACGGGGACCCGCACAAGUGGUGGAGCAUGUGGUUUAAUUCGAAGCAACGCGAAGAACCUUACCAAAUCUUGACAUCCUUUGACAACUCUAGAGAUAGAGCCUUCCCCUUCGGGGGACAAAGUGACAGGUGGUGCAUGGUUGUCGUCAGCUCGUGUCGUGAGAUGUUGGGUUAAGUCCCGCAACGAGCGCAACCCUUAAGCUUAGUUGCCAUCAUUAAGUUGGGCACUCUAAGUUGACUGCCGGUGACAAACCGGAGGAAGGUGGGGAUGACGUCAAAUCAUCAUGCCCCUUAUGAUUUGGGCUACACACGUGCUACAAUGGACAAUACAAAGGGCAGCGAAACCGCGAGGUCAAGCAAAUCCCAUAAAGUUGUUCUCAGUUCGGAUUGUAGUCUGCAACUCGACUACAUGAAGCUGGAAUCGCUAGUAAUCGUAGAUCAGCAUGCUACGGUGAAUACGUUCCCGGGUCU